UUUGCUUUACAAGCGCCAGAACUUAGAUUGAUGAUUUGGUCUGAGUUGACGAGGACAGAGUUUAUCGAAGUGUCGGCGGAUGCUCUGCGGUGUGUUUACCAUCGGAAAGUUUUAACAAACCAUGUAAGUAAUUACAUGUACAAAAUAAAACUUAUGUAAACUG
rfam:Paeniclostridium sordellii ATCC 9714 gcs9714.contig.87, whole genome shotgun sequence.